rnacentral:lncRNA from 1 species
UUUCUCAUGUAUCCUAACCAUCACCUUCCUUCUAAUAGCUUCCAACAUGCUAAUAAUGGGUAGGAACCUAGCCUGAACUAUCCAUUUGUUGAAUGUCUCACAAAUAUUAUUGUCUACAGAAUCAUAGUUUGAUCCAAACCUGAACCAGGCCCUGCUCCAGUGCCUUGGAUCUGUGUUCAUGAUGGCCCUUGCACCUUCAACUGUCUCUUGUGCCAGUUUUGCCUUAGCUAGGUUGAAGAGCAUGACAUUUGGAGCUUUGGCACACCUCCAGAACUUCUUCUGUCAUUGCUUCUUGCUGAAUUUCUUCUUCCAGUUGGCAUAAAUAUGCCUUGCACAAUUUCUGUGCUCAGCACUUGGAGCCCGGUUCUGAACUGCAUUUACAAUACCCUACAAUCAAGCACAAAACAUCCAUGUAAUUACUCCACCACAUCAUGAAUUAAAACAAAGAAUAGUAUCCAAAAUAUUUACAAAGGCAGAGAAUGCUAUACCUUCUGCUGGUCUGAGAUAAACACCCAGUCAUCACCAUCACCAACUGCCAAGUCUUUGCAGAGCAAAUCACAGAACCAAUCCCAUGAGUCAUUUGUUUCCUUCUCC